UACGGAGGGGGCUAGCGUUGUUCGGAAUUACUGGGCGUAAAGCGCGCGCAGGCGGUCUUCCAAGUCAGUGGUGAAAGCCCGGAGCUCAACUCCGGAACUGCCAUUGAAACUGUUAGACUUGAGGAUGAGAGAGGUGAGUGGAAUUCCCAGUGUAGAGGUGAAAUUCGUAGAUAUUAGGAAGAACACCGGUGGCGAAGGCGGCCCACUGGAUCGGUACUGACGCUGAGGUGCGAAAGCGUGGGGAGCAAACAGG
rnacentral:rRNA from 1 species